GAGAAAGGAUCAUUGCAUUACAUUCACUCCAUCGACAUGAGAGUGUACUCUAGGAAUUUAUACAAGUGUUACAAAAUGAUUGGACCUAAAACAUGUAACUACAUAAUAGAAAAUUACAAAGUCUUGGUCCUGUAACUGGUUAGACCAAAGGCAGAAAACCAAAGUCAUUACUCAUCAAAUAAAAAUAAACCAAAACUGAAAUAAUAAAAAUAUCGUCCAUAAUCCAAAAAGGAGGUUUGACUUCAACAUUAAUAUCUUCCACCAAA
rnacentral:lncRNA from 1 species